UCAACUUUUUCUGUGUAUGGAUUUUGUGGAUAAGCACUAAUGUACAGAAUAAUACAAGUUAAUUUAAAGUAUAUUAUUGUUUAUUUUAUUUGAAUUAUUAUUAUUAUUAUUUAUUUAUUCUUUUGCCAACCCCCAUAAUCCCAUGCCCAAACAUAAUGCAACGCGGUGACAUCGCGCUAUUGCGCCAUUUUGCGACUACUUGGCGGUCUUUUUUUGAAUCGGCAUCAAUUUAUCAGGCGGCCUGCAGUGCACUUACAGCUCGAACUGUGAAGCCAUAUUGUUGUAAGGUUGAUGACAAAUGAGGUCAUGGCCUGUUUCAGUAUGAAGUGGGGGAAGGGGAAGCUUGCCUUCACCAAGAUCAAUCUGUACACUGUUGUCACAGAGAGUGUCCAGAAAACAUCAAAAGAGACGGGGCAAAUAUUGCAGCGGCCACCGCCUUUUGUUUAAAAUAUGCCCCAGCAGAGCCGUCGCAAGGAGGGUGAGAGGCCCUGUGCAAAGUUGACAUGCGAGGCCCUCUACAAUUUUGCGUGUGUGUGUGUGUGGUGGGGGAGGUUGCUGUAGUAAGGCAAGGCAAGUUUAUUUAUAUAACAGAUUUCGUACACAAUGGUAAUUCAAAGUGCUUUACAUAAAAUAAAGUAAA